rnacentral:lncRNA from 12 species
UCAAGGUUCCCAGCAGAUCAGGCCUCCAGGGAGAGAAGUACGUAGCAAGCUACAUAAUCCAACAGUAUGAGAGGAGUCCUGAGUCAGUUGGCACGCGAAAAAAUUUCAUAUGAAGGAGCAAGAGGUGAUGGGGUCUCAACAUGACAGGACUGAAUCUAAACAGGGAAAUCUGUCUUCCAUUUUUGUCACCUCAGAACACAAAGCCAAAUUGGAGUGACUUCAUAGAAGAACAACAAAAUGAUUAGGGCACAAAGGGCUUGAUUUAUGUGGAGAGAUUAAAAGAGCACAGAGUAAUGUAUAUUUUGGCUAAGUGAUUGCUAAGAGGAGCAUGAUAACAGUCUGCAAAUAUGUGAAAGACGUAAACGCCUCAGGAGAAGAAGAAUCCUCUGGAACGAUGCAAAUGGACAGCACAAAGGGCAAAGGGAAAGUUUGAGUUAAAAAUGAGAAGAGAAGGAAAAUGCGCACCGUGAGAACUGAUCCCAUUCCUAGGAAAUCAGUGAGCGUCCUCAUUGUUGGGACAUUUGAAAUAUCCCAAAUAAAACUUCAGGAGGCUUACUAGAGGAGCCGUGCUUUCCCGGUGUGGUGCUGUGGAAUCUGUGAUCCCUUGGGUCAAAGGAAGAAAAGCUCAGCUAACCAACCGGCUGUUUACCUCCAGCAGUAGGUCAAGUGCACAGCCCUCUGCACAGCCAGCGCUCUGUGGAGUGACCAAGUGCUCCAGCUGCCACCCUCGUGAGACUGAGCACAUCUGCUCCGAGAUGUUUGCAGCAUUCCCUGACCUGGGGCAUGGGAACCUCAGAACAUUUCCUAACCCAGGUCUCAUUAGCUUGAUACAAUUAGAUUACUGAAGAAUGCAGUUGACGAAAGGCACAUAUUAUUUAUAAUUUCCAUUAGCAGUAAAAAUUGUUCCAGACAAAAUUUCAUAAGGCCAUCUCAUGUCAUUUGUCACACGAUUAAUCUCACCGAGGGGUGGGGGUUGGGGGGGAGACGGCAUAAAAGAAUCAUAGGAAACAUUUACAUGCCAAAAAAUUGAUGUACUUUUUUCUCUUUUUUUAGUUUUUCUUUCAGACAGAAACCAUUACUACCCUUAGUUUAGCAAGAUGGGGUGUGUGUGUGUGUGUGUGUGUGUGUUUGGUUAAUGCUGUGUAUCAUUUAUGGCCUCAGCUUGUGAACUUUCAUAAGAAUGAGUUCAGGGAUAAGCAAUUACUGAGCUGACGUUUACAAUUUGGGGUCUAAACUGUCAUUAACGACACUUAACAGUAACACACCGGUUGAGGUGGGAGGUGAGUUCAGGGGACUGGGUCCGAAGAGGUAGUUUCCAGUGUUACUUAUCUGUCAGGUACUAAUGCUCAGUCCUUGAAGAAGAGGCAAAAAAAUCUUCCCUGUAAUUCAGUUUUCCCACUUGUAUAUUUAGAUGGUUACAUCAGACAAACACCAGGAAUGUGGGAAGAUCUAAAGUUGUCUAAGUUAAUGGUUAAUGAUUAGA